UCCCAGGUGGCUUAGGUGGUAAAACGUCUGCCUACAAUGCAGGAGACCUGGGUUUGAUCCCUGGGUUGGGAA
rnacentral:tRNA from 1 species